rnacentral:rRNA from 1 species
GACGAACGCUGGCGGCGUGCUUAACACAUGCAAGUCGAACGGAAAGGCCCUGCUUGCAGGGUACUCGAGUGGCGAACGGGUGAGUAACACGUGGGUGAUCUGCCCUGCACUUCGGGAUAAGCCUGGGAAACUGGGUCUAAUACCGGAUAGGAGCCAUUUUUAGUGUGAUGGUUGGAAAGUUUUUUCGGUGUAGGAUGAGCUCGCGGCCUAUCAGCUUGUUGGUGGGGUAAUGGCCUACCAAGGCGGCGACGGGUAGCCGGCCUGAGAGGGUGGACGGCCACAUUGGGACUGAGGUGCGGCACAAGCUCCUACGGGAGGCAGAAGUGGGGAAUAUUGCACAAUGGGCGCAAGCCUGAUGCAGAGGCGCCGCGUGGGGGAUGACGGCCUUCGGGUUGUAGACUCCUUUCGCUAGGGACGAAGCUUUUUGUGACGGUACCUAGAGAAGAAGCACCGGCUAACUACGUG